CGGGGCUUCUCGCAAGGAAAAUUCCUCUGCGUCUUUCUCGUAUGACGCAUCAUCUCUUUCCGUCUUCGUUUAAUGCGCCUGCAUUACCUUCUCUCCCAUGAUGGCCAGCAGAAGACACUGGAGAUUUGGCUCCCUCAUCUUGGUAUGCAUGGGUAAACAUGAAGACAAGGCGGGUAGUGGUACAAGAAGCAGGUUCCCCCCUGCACACCUUUUAGAAUGACUGCAUCCCUGCACACCGCAAAACCCUUACACCA
ensembl:lncRNA